GCCGGGGUGGCGGAAUUGGUAGACGCGCUAGAUUCAGGUUCUAGUAUCUGCAAAGAUGUGCGAGUUCAACUCUCGCCCUCGGCACCA
rnacentral:tRNA from 1 species